rnacentral:misc_RNA from 1 species
AACUUUUAGCAAUGGAUCUCUCGGCUCUUGCAUCGAAGAAGAACGCAGUCAAUUGCGAAAAGUAAUGUGACGUGCACCCUUUGAGAAGCAUUUUACUCUUUGAACGCACCUUGCGCGCAUCCUUCUGGGAUGCGAGGUCCUGUUUGAGCGUGUUUAACAAACUUUUAUUUGGUUUCUAUUGACAAGCUUUGCUGACUCUCGGCUCUGCCGAGUGGGAGUAAGUUACAAAAUGGAAGCUGAAAAAUAUGCAGGACGCCCGAACGACUCUAGGGCGCCACGACGAGCAGCGCGACAAGCACCACUGCGACCCGUGGCACUGCAGGUUUGCGAGAGCGAUUGCGAGAAGAGUUGCAUCUAGUAAACAAUCUCUACCAUAUAACACACCUCAAAUCAGGAUAGAGGACCCGCUGAACUUAAGCAUAUCAAUAAGCGGAGGCU